AUUGAACGCUGGCGGCAGGCCUAACACAUGCAAGUCGAACGAGUGGCGGACGGGUGAGUAAUGUCUGGGAAACUGCCUGAUGGCGGGGGAUAACUACUGGAAACGGUAGCUAAUACCGCAUACCAUCGGAUGUUCCCAGAUGGGAUUAGCUAGUAGGGGGGGUAAAGGCUCACCUAGGCGACGAUCCCUAGCUGGUCUGAGAGGAUGACCAGCAACACGGGAACGGAGACACGGUCCAGACUCCUACGGGAGGCAGCAGUGGGGAAUAUUGCAAAAUGGGGGCAAGCCUGAUGCAGCCAGGCCGCGUGUAUGAAGAAGGCCGUCGGGUUGUAAAGUACUUUCAGCGGGGAGGCGUUACCCGCAGAAGAAGCACCGGCUAACUCCGUGCCAGCAGCCGCGGUAAUAC
rnacentral:rRNA from 1 species